CAUCCCUCUCUUCUCUCUUCUCUCUUCUCUUUCACUCCCCUCUCCCUCACGGCUCACAAAACCAGUAGCUGCCGCCUCCACCGUGGCCACCACCACCACCACCAGGUCACGUUGCUCUCCCCUCCACCAGCAGACACGCCCUCCUUCCACCUGCAGCAGCCGCGAGUCUCAAUAACAGCAGCAACCACGUUUGUGGUUGUUUCCACGGCAACAGCGAGCCCAGCACCACCACCGGCUCCUUAGAGCUGCGUUUGGAUCGCGCCACCGCCACAAAAUCCUCAAUCUCGUGGUCCAUUCCUAGUUCCACCUAUUGCGCCCAAUUCAUAAGAGGAAGGUAGAACUUUAGUUGGGUGAUGUUUGACUUUUGGUCGUGCAGUGACACUUACAGCAGGAUGAUCAUAGACAGACGUAGCAGGUAUUGGAGCUUCACUUGCAUUGCAUUGCAUUGGGGGAGAGUAAUGAGGGCGAAGCAUAACCUGUGUCAUACCGUUAU